CUGUCUUGGCCUAUGCUUUUCAUGCUCCCCUGUGCUCACUUCUAACAGGGAAGUGUGGCAGGACACACAGCAAUCUCUCAGUUCAGGAGGGCCAUCCUAAGAACAGGGCAGACUCUUAAAGGCAAAGAGGACAAU